rnacentral:rRNA from 1 species
AUUGAACGCUGGCGGCAUGCCUUACACAUGCAAGUCGAACGGCAGCACGGGAGCAAUCCUGGUGGCGAGUGGCGAACGGGUGAGUAAAGUAUCGGAACGUGCCCAGUCGUGGGGGAUAACGUAGCGAAAGUUACGCUAAUACCGCAUACGAUCUAUGGAUGAAAGAGGGGGAUCGCAAGACCUCGCGCGAUUGGAGCGGUCGAUAUCAGAUUAGGUAGUUGGUGGGGUAAAGGCUCACCAAGCCGACGACCUGUAGCUGGUCUGAGAGGACGACCAGCCCCACUGGGACUGAGACACGGCCCAGACUCCUACGGGAGGCAGCAGUGGGGAAUUUUGGACAAUGGGCGAAAGCCUGAUCCAGCCAUGCCGCGUGCAGGAUGAAGGCCUUCGGGUUGUAAACUGCUUUUGUACGGAACGAAAAGGUUUGGCCUAAUAAGCUGAGCUCAUGACGGUACCGUAAGAAUAAGCACCGGCUAACUACGUGCCAGCAGCCGCCGUAA